UGUCCAAUAGAUCAGUUGGUAGAGCACAAGAAUCUUAAUCUCAGGUUGAUGGGUUUGAGCCCCACCUUGGGCAG